AUUGAACGCUGGCGGCAGGCUUAACACAUGCAAGUCGAGCGGAGAUGAGGUGCUUGCACCUUAUCUUAGCGGCGGACGGGUGAGUAAUGCUUAGGAAUCUGCCUAUUAGUGGGGGACAACAUUCCGAAAGGAAUGCUAAUACCGCAUACGCCCUACGGGGGAAAGCAGGGGAUCUUCGGACCGUGCGCUAAUAGAUGAGCCUAAGUCGGAUUAGCUAGUUGGUGGGGUAAAGGCCUACCAAGGCGACGAUCUGUAGCGGGUCUGAGAGGAUGAUCCGCCACACUGGGACUGAGACACGGCCCAGACUCCUACGGGAGGCAGCAGUGGGGAAUAUUGGACAAUGGGCGGAAGCCUGAUCCAGCCAUGCCGCGUGUGUGAAGAAGGCCUUUUGGUUGUAAAGCACUUUAAGCGAGGAGGAGGCUACCUGGAUUAAUACUCUAGGAUAGUGGACGUUACUCGCAGAAUAAGCACCGGCUAACUCUGUGCCAGCAGCCGCAGUAACAC
rnacentral:rRNA from 1 species